rnacentral:rRNA from 1 species
UACGGAGGGUGCGAGCGUUGUCCGGAAUCAUUGGGCGUAAAGGGCGCGUAGGUGGCCCCUCAAGCGUGCGGUGAAAGUCAGGGGCUCAACCCCUGAUCGGCCGUGGCGAACUGGGGAGCUUGAGCACUGUAGAGGCAGGCGGAAUUCCGGGUGUAGCGGUGGAAUGCGUAGAGAUCCGGAAGAACACCGGUGGCGAAGGCGGCCUGCUGGGCAGUUUUGCUGACACUGAGGCGCGACAGCGUGGGGAGCAAACAGG